rnacentral:rRNA from 1 species
GAUGAACGCUAGCGGCAGGCUUAACACAUGCAAGUCGAGGGGUAGAAGGAGCUUGCUCCUUUGAGACCGGCGCACGGGUGCGUAACGCGUAUGCAAUCUACCUUGUACAGGGGGAUAGCCCAGAGAAAUUUGGAUUAAUACCCCAUAGUGUAACGAAAAGGCAUCUUUUUGUUACUAAAGUUCCAACGGUACAAGAUGAGCAUGCGUCCCAUUAGCUAGUUGGUGUGGUAACGGCACACCAAGGCAACGAUGGGUAGGGGUCCUGAGAGGGAGGUCCCCCACACUGGUACGGAGACACGGACCAGACUCCUACGGGAGGCAGCAGUGAGGAAUAUUGGUCAAUGGGCGCAAGCCUGAACCAGCCAUGCCGCGUGCAGGAUGACGGUCCUAUGGAUUGUAAACUGCUUUUGUACAGGAAGAAACACUCCCUCGUGAGGGAACUUGACGGUACUGUAAGAAUAAGGAUCGGCUAACUCCGUGCCAGCCGCCGCCGUAAGAC